CCUUACGGGUGGCAGCAGUGGGGAAUAUUGGACAAUGGGCGAAAGCCUGAUCCAGCCAUGCCGCGUGUGUGAAGAAGGCCUUCGGGUUGUAAAGCACUUUCAGUGGGGAAGAAAGCCUUGGGGCUAAUACCCUCGAGGAAGGACAUCACCCACAGAAGAAGCACCGGCUAACUCCGUGCCAGCAGCCGCGGUAAUACGGAGGGUGCGAGCGUUAAUCGGAAUUACUGGGCGUAAAGCGCGCGUAGGCGGUCUGAUAAGCCGGUUGUGAAAGCCCCGGGCUCAACCUGGGAACGGCAUCCGGAACUGUCAGGCUAGAGUGCAGGAGAGGAAGGUAGAAUUCCCGGUGUAGCGGUGAAAUGCGUAGAGAUCGGGAGGAAUACCAGUGGCGAAGGCGGCCUUCUGGACUGACACUGACGCUGAGGUGCGAAAGCGUGGGUAGCAAACAGGAUUAGAUACCCGUGUAGUC
rnacentral:rRNA from 1 species